GGGGGCGAUAGGUUUCGACUGAGGUUUAUUUCGGCAGGAGAAGCGGGUCGAGCUCAGGUAACUCGUUAAACUAUCUGAAAAAAACAAACGCAGAUCGCGAAUUAGCACUAGCUGCUUAAUUGCAGCUUCGCCAAUCUAGGGAUCGCCUACGUCUUUAGUGCGGCGUCAUUUAAGUAGGCUUACCUGACCCGGAUGCCCAUAAGGGUUCAGGGAAAUUCUGUGGGCUAGCAAUUAGAUAACCCUGCCUGUGGGGGUGCUAAUUGCGAAAGUUAAAACACAGGAUACGCCCGUAGAUGCUCCUGUGGAAAGCUUUCAGGACGUGGGUUCAAUUCCCACCGCCUCCACAG
rnacentral:tmRNA from 1 species